CGGUUUGUCGCGUAUGCUGUAAAGACUGGGGCUCAAUUCCGGUUCUGCAGUGGGUACGGGCAGACUAGAGUGCAGUAGGGGAGACUGGAAUUCUUGGUGUAGCGGUGAAAUGCGCAGAUAUCAUGAGGAACACCGAUGGCGAAGGCAGGUCUCUCGGCUGUAACUGACGCUGAGGAGCGAAAGCAUGGGGAGCGAACAGGAUUAGAUACUCUGGUAGUCCAUCCCGUAAACGUUGGGCACUAGGUGUGGGGGACAUUCCACGUUUUCCGCGCCGUAGGUAACGCAUUAAGUGCCCCGCCUGGGGAGUACGGCCGCAAGGCUAAAACUCAAAGGAAUUGACGGGGGCCCGCACAAGCGGCGGAGCAUGCGGAUUAAUUCGAUGCAACGCGAAGAACCUUACCAAGGCUUGACAUGAACCGGAAAGACCUGGAAACAGGUGCCCCGCUUGCGGUCGGUUUACAGGUGGUGCAUGGUUGUCGUCAGCUCGUGUCGUGAGAUGUUGGGUUAAGUCCCGCAACGAGCGCAACCCUCGUUUUAUGUUGCCAGCGGUUCGGCCGGGGACUCAUAGGAGACUGCCGGGGUCAACUCGGAGGAAGGUGGGGACGACGUCAAAUCAUCAUGCCCCUUAUGUGUUGGGCUUCACGCAUGCUACAAUGGCCGGUACAAAGGGUUGCGAUACUGUGAGGUGGAGCUAAUCCCAAAAAGCCGGUCUCAGUUCGGAUUGGGGUCUGCAACUCGACCCCAUGAAGUCGGAGUCGCUAGUAAUCGCAGAUCAGCAACGCUGCGGUGAAUACGUUCCCGGGCCUUGUACACACCGCCCGUCAAGUCACGAAAGUUGGUAACACCCGAAGCCGGUGGCCUAACCCUUGUGGAGGAGCCGUCGA
rnacentral:rRNA from 1 species